AUGGAAUCACAUAUUCAUGUCUUCAUGUCCUUGUUCCUUUGGGUGUCUGGUGCCUGUGCAGAUAUUGUGAUGACCCAGUCUCCACCCUCCCUGACUGUGUCAGCAGGAGAGAAGGCCACUAUCAGCUGCAAGUCCAGUCAGAGUCUUUUCAGCAGUAACACCAAAAAGAACUACUUGAACUGGUACCUGCAGAAACCAGGGCAGUCUCCUAAACUGCUGAUCUACCAUGCAUCCACUAGGCAUACUGGGGUCCCUGAUCGCUUCAUAGGCAGUGGAUCUGGGACAGAUUUCACUCUCACCAUCAGCAGUGUCCAGGAUGAAGACCUGGCAGAUUAUUACUGUCAGCAGUGGUAUAGCUUUCCUCCCACAGUGCUUCAGUCUCCACCAAAAACCUCCUCUGAGAGUCUCACCAGCUGCAUGCAGCAUGCACAGCCCCAACCUACACACUUCUCCCUUCUUCCUGAGAGCCGGGGUGACUGA